ACAAUAUGUGCUAGCUGAUCCAGCCAUGCCGCGUGUGUGAAGAAGGUCUUCGGAUUGUAAAGCACUUUAAGUUGGGAGGAAGGGUUGUAGAUUAAUACUCUGCGUUUUGACGUUACCGACAGAAUAAGCACCGGCUAACUCUGUGCCAGCAGCCGCGGUAAUACAAAGGGUGCAAGCGUUAAUCGGAAUUACUGGGCGUAAAGCGCGCGUAGGUGGUUUGUUAAGUUGGAUGUGAAAUCCCCGGGCUCAACCUGGGAACUGCAUUCAAAACUGACUGACUAGAGUAUGGUAGAGGGUG
rnacentral:rRNA from 1 species